ACACGCUCCUUGAUUAAAUCACUAACAUGGACUUUAUCUAGCAAAAUGGCUAGCUUUUACUCUCGCUACUCCUCUGCUUGGGAAACAAAAUACAGGGGCAGAGAAAUGGAAUGAGAAAUUAAGCCCAGCAGGAAUACAGGACGUCAGACUUACCUUUUUCGGAUUUUGUAACGGGUGGAAGAUACCCCAGGCAAUGACAAGGUGAAUUCGCAGCAGUCUUCUGCUUGAACAAGGGGAAGAACAGCUGUGUAAAUAAAUGCAGAUGAGUACAACUGGCUGCGUGCUUUCCCCAGCUGCCUGCUCCACUUACAUAGGCUCUCUGCCGAUUGCAGUCAACAGGAUUCAGGUUGAGGAAGAAGAUACAUCAAAGGAGAUGGAGAAGAAAGCGGACUCUCAGAUGCCUGCCUAUCUGCCUGCUCUCCUUCUUGUACCGGCUUUUAUGAUUAUCUCUGGGGCGCCCUGCCCUGGGGAUGUACGCUGGCGUUUGUGGUUGUGGCUCUGCCAGUGCACUUGCUGGUUCUGCAAGUGUGUUCACACGCAUGUUCCUGCAGGCGGUGGACAUCAGAAGUGCGUGUUCUAAAAGUCCUGAGUUGGGACAGUUCUUCUGAGUGAAAGCAGGACCUGAACUAGAGCUUGGAAGAGGCUUGGAAGAGAUGGGAAUGGGGUGUAGGCAGCAAGGUGGCUCAGCCUCACUCACUUUUCCAUGAACUGUUUCUGAAGUCUCCUCUUUUUCCUUCCUUUGCAAACUCUGGUUAUGUAGCUGCCAUUUCCUUGGGAGCAAUACUUUUUUACAAGAGCUUUUAUUGUGCCUUUAAAUAAACCAAAGAAUAAGAAAAAUAGUUCUUCACUGUGGAAUGCUUGAAAAAUAUUUAACAUACUUAGGAAGCAAAAGCUAUGCAUACUGCCACUGACCAUGGACAACUACCUUAGAUGGUAUUUCUUUUUGAAAGAAGUUUUUUCAAAUUUAUUUUUGAUUGGUGUAUAAUUGCUUAAUAAUAUUUUGUUGGUUUCUACUAUACAACAAUGAAUCAGCUGUAAGUAUAUA